rnacentral:rRNA from 1 species
UACGUAGGGGGCAAGCGUUGUCCGGAAUUAUUGGGCGUAAAGAGCGUGUAGGCGGUCCGGUAAGUCGGCUGUGAAAGUCCAGGGCUCAACCCUGGGAUGCCGGUCGAUACUGCCGGACUAGAGUUCGGAAGAGGCGAGUGGAAUUCCCGGUGUAGCGGUGAAAUGCGCAGAUAUCGGGAGGAACACCUAUGGCGAAGGCAGCUCGCUGGGACGUUACUGACGCUGAGGCGCGAAAGCUAGGGUAGCAAACGGG